CACUUGCGCGCGGAGUCGUCGCAGCCGCCGGAAUUCUUUUCCACGCGCCGCGGAGCUCCCCGCCGCGGAACGGAAUCCGGGGCAGGGCGGCGUGCGGGCUCCGCGCCGAUCGCGCUCUCCCGCCCGAGUGCUAGGCUCCCGGGACGAGCAGCCCGCCCGCCCCCGGCCCUCCCCGCUCCUGUCCAGCAGGCAGCCCGCCGCCGCUGCCCCGGCCGCUGCGGAGCUGGCGAGAAGGCUUCCGACUUGGAGCCUCCGGCUGCCGAGCAUGCCCAGUCCGCGGCGGAGCCGGGUCGGCUUCCCGCGCGACGCCGGUCCGUUCCUCCGGGUGUUCCCGGCGGCCGGGGGGCGGGGACCGCGGACGCUCGACCGGGGACCCAGCGGAGUCCCGCAGGACAGCGAGUGGGGUGAACUGGGGGGCGGAAGUUAGAAGAGGAGUUCUCGUUCCUGAGGCGCCGGUACCGCUCCCACUGCUUCCCUGUUGUGACCCAUUCCCGGCGACGGGAGGAUGGAGGUGGCGGAAGACGUCAGGACCGCCGCCGCUCCCCUCCAUGCAUUUCCCCUGCCGCCGGUCAGGUUCCAUGGUGAUGCUGUUAUAGUCACUUGGUGUCCCUGAAAUCUCUGGACCCUCGACCUCACCACCCGAGGAUGCAUUACCACACCUAGACCCACGGAAUCAGAAACGCUAUUGGUGGGGUCCUCCCUGAAAUCUGGUUAACAAGCCCUCAGGGUGAACCUAAAUGCCGCUUUCCCUAAGCCCUUGAGACCCGUUUUCAUGUGAGACGCUGAAAACUUGGGAAAAAACGGAUUCAAAAUGCAGCCUGCUCCUGGCCAGGCGCUUGGGGUCUCUCGUCCUCUCCUGCAUCCCUGGCCUCUUCACCCCAGGACACUAUGCUACUGCACUUACACCGUGUUUUUACAUGACAACAGACAUUCAGUUCAGUUUGGAGUGUCAACCAAGAGCAGGAGAGUGCCUGAGCGGCUUAGUAGCCCCACUGGGUAUUAAACAUCAGUUUAAAAGAUAAAAGGAAGGCUUGCUGGUUUUUGACAUGAGUGCUGGACAGCCACUGGCUACUUCGCACUUGCUGUAACCGAGGUCAAAACAGCAUUUGCACAGAGCUGGGCUCUACUACCCCAGUAGAGCUACAAGAGAGAACUGGCUUCCUGGGUCAUUACUAGCCACCAUGAUGAAAUAUGGCUGGCUUUCUAAGAAGGAGAGAGACCAGAGGAGACACGUACAUAAGCAUACUAUCUCUUGCCAUGUGAUAUCCUGCACACUUCAAGACCCUGCAUCAUCGGAUGUGGCCCUUUGGCCUGAACUUACAAAACUGUUGAAACAAGCUCCAUCGCCUGGUUGCUUAGGAAUGCUGGUCAUUUGAUGAGAAGUACUGUUCUGUGUGUGAGGUGUCUCUCCUGUGGUCUCCUUGAGAAGCACUCUCAUCUUGGCAUUGGCCUAAAUUGCAUCUUUGACAGGAAUUGUUGUGACUAUUAGUCAUUCCAUGCUUGUGUAAGUAAAGAGGAGAAUUUGUUUUAUGAAGG
rnacentral:lncRNA from 1 species